AAUUAUUAAGGAACUGUGAAGUAUAACCUGUAUUUGGUCACCUAAGGGUUAUAUGGAGUUAAUGGUGAAACCACCCUAUAUUAUU
rnacentral:ncRNA from 2 species